CAUCAGCUGCUGGCUCGUCGACGAUGCGUGCCGGGCGCCAGUGGCAGGCUCAGCUGAGUAAGGGUUGUGCGAUCAUGUGGCGAUACCUGUGACUUGACCUGACCCUACUCUUUCCUAGUCACCUUGGCGUUGUGCUAUAAAUCUUUGACAGUGAUGCAGCGUGUGGCAGUGUUUUGAGUUGCCGCAGCUGUCGCCACCAGCGCUGCUCAGGCAGUACCGAGGGUCACGGUGCCGUGAAGGCAAGCUUCCCCCAGUCGUCUGAUACUGGGCUGUCUAUUGCACUCUGCACAGCAGUUCAUACGACAUCGACUGGUUUGCCUUCGGCGUUCUGCUAAAGAUUUGGACGAGAGGGGGUUCGCUAAGGUGAGCAAAGGCGAGCCCACGCCUCCUGCCUCCCCCACUCAGCUGUAGCUACUCUUCCCACUCAACGUUCAGACUUCUUCAGUAACCUCUACGUCUCUCACUCGGAAUUUCAGCCUCCACAUAUUCAAGAUACAAGGAAAGGAAAAUAUGGCAGAUGUUCAUGUGGUAGGAUUAAAGCUGCCCCUUCACGUCACAGUGAACGAACACAGACAAGUCGAUGGGAGAGCCAAGGCAGGAGGAUGGGGACUGACGGGUAUCCACAUGUGACGCAGGCCAUCACGUCAGGUCCCAAACACCUUCAUUGCAUUUUACCAGUGCUCUGCAAAAAUGUAAUAUCAUUUUAACAUAAUUACUUCUACCAUUAUAGCUGCAGUAACAUUGUGAGACAUAUCAUCAUAAAAGCACGCGGAAUCUACUUAAUCAACUAAUGAGUUCAGUAUGAAAAAAAAAAAAAAAUACAAAAUCUUUGUUUCCUUAAUUAGGAAAUAUGAUAACUUGUUUCGGUCUUAGUCUACGGAACGUUUUCUAUCGUUAUUGUAUUAUUUUUUUCACCAUUGCUGUUGUUGAUGUUAUUUUCUGAGCAACGGACAGCAGUAUCGUUAGGGACUUAAAAAAAAAUAUCUCCCGUAGAAAAAGUUUUGAAAAUUUCAACCAUCUGUGUCAAUGUUGUGUUUCCAUUUUUGGGAAACACGGUUAUUUGUACUAAAUCAAAUCCAUGAUUGCAUCCUGCUAGAGUUAAGUUUCUGUAAUUCAUGCGAAAACUAAGAUUAAGAAAAAAUAAAUAAGUAUAUAAAAAUGAAUAAAUAGAUAAAUGAAAAUAUGAAAAAAUAAUAAAAGUAGUAAAAAUGUAUUUUUUAAAAGAUGUCGCAUUCACCUGAAAAAUGUAGUAUGCAGUUGACUGUUGAGUGGUGGUGGAUGAGGGAGAGGGACAAGGGGAAGGGAUUUUGAUGGCAUAAGUGUUGACACAUUUUGAAGUGAUUCAGCUGAUAAUAAGUCUUGGUGCAGUAAUUAAUGGAAACCAGAGUAAUGUUACUUUGACUGAAUUACUAUAAUGACACAGGACGAGUUAGAUAUUGAGAUGUUUGGGUGAUGCAUCUCGACUUCAGUGAGUUAACCAAUACCGUCACUCUUUCUUCCCUUUUUACUUGUAAACUGUGGAGUAUGUAAUUUCUCCGUGCGACUUGGCCAUGUUUAAGUUUCGAAACACCGGCAUUGUUGAAUUGGUUCUACCUUCGGAAUUACUUUUUUUUUUUUUUUUUUGUGACAGUGGGCCUUUCUUUCUGAAAUUGUUUUUUGCUCUUGGUCUACCUCCUUUGUGCACAAUGAAUAAUAAAUAAAUAAAUAAAACACCAUCAAAAUCC